GAUGAAGAACGCAGCGAAAUGCGAUAAGUAAUGUGAAUUGCAGAAUUCAGUGAAUCAUCGAGUCUUUGAACGCACAUUGCGCCCCCUGGUAUUCCGGGGGGCAUGUCUGUCCGAGCGUCAUUGCUGCCCUCAAGCACGGCUUGUGUGUUGGGCCCCGUCCUCCGAUCCCGGGGGACGGGCCCGAAAGGCAGCGGCGGCACCGCGUCCGGUCCUCGAGCGUAUGGGGCUUUGUCACCCGCUCUGUAGGCCCGGCCGGCGCUUGCCGAUCAACCCAAAUUUUUAUCCAGGUUGACCUCGGAUCAGGUAGGGAUACCCGCUGAACUUAAGCAUAUCAAUAAGCGGAGGA
rnacentral:misc_RNA from 1 species